AAUGGAGCUGGAAAACAUUGUGGCCAACAAGGUCUUGCUGAAAGCCCGGGAAGGGGGUGGAGGAAAGCACAAAGGGAAAAGCAAGAAGUGGAAGGCAAUCCUGUGAAGACCUCCGAAGGAUGACUUUUACUCAAAGUUCUCUACAGGUUUUGUGCCAAUUCCAUGGCAAAAUGAGAUGAUAGAAGCAGAAUGUUUCAAGGAGCUGAAUGUGUUCGGACCUAACGGUACCCUCUCACCAGACCUGAACAGAAGUCAGCCUCCAGAACCGCCAAAGAAAGGGCUGUUCCACAGACUCUUCAGGCGUCAGCAUCAAAGCAAUUCCAAGAGUUCACCUACUCCUAAGACCAGUUGUAACCACCGAAUAAUUCAAACCACAUCAAUUCAAACUCCCCUGGAAGCA
rnacentral:lncRNA from 1 species